UCCCUGGUGGCUCAGAUGGUAAAGUGCCUGUCUACAAUGCGGGAAAUCCGGGUUCGAUCCCUGGGUUGGGAA
rfam:TPA: Bos taurus chromosome 10, whole genome shotgun sequence.